CAAUCUUUUCUGGAGUCACAAUUGUUCUUCAUGGUCCUAAUUCCUGCUUCAUGGUCCCUGGAUGUGACAUCCCCAAUCCAUUUCUCUGAAUGCCUGAAUUCACUGGAAAUAUGUCUCUCACUCCCUUAGCUUCCUCGUGGAGAAGGCCAUAUGACAAGGAAUGGAAGAAGGCCUCUGACCAACAGCUAAAGAAGCAAUCAGAAGCAGAUGCAGAGAUGAAGUAUAUUUGCACAGAAUUUCCUGAAGUACUCUCAGGAGAGACUAAUUACAAGUCUGGAAGCAGCAGAAAAAUAUUGUAAAGAAGCUAUCAAAGGAACAAUUUCAGGUUCAGUGGUAGCCUCAGUCAGUCUU